GGGUGGUUAGGUUGGCUGACCAAAAUCAGACCAAUUAUUUGUUGGUUAGAUGGGCUGAGCAUAGUCAUGUUAAUGGUUGGACCUAAUCAGGACUUGCAGAGAUAGCCAAAGCCAACUAAAAAAAAGUUUGAGAUAAAAUUAAUUACUAGAAGUUGUUUGAAGAAAUAAUUAGUUAAGAACCUACCCAUAAAUGCACAUGGAUUGACCGACCAUAGUCAGGCUCAUGUAUAGUUUGUGUAUAUUCUAGUACCCACUAAGAAAUUAAGGUAAUUUCUCGAAUUAGAGGUAGAAGCUACCAAUUCGAAUAAAAUAGUGGA
rnacentral:lncRNA from 1 species